rnacentral:tRNA from 1 species
GCCGCCUUAGCUCACUUGGUAGAGCAGCUCACUCGUAAUGAGCAGGUAUCCGGUUCGAAUCCGGAAGGCGGCUCCA